CCUACGGGUGGCUGCAGUGGGGAAUAUUGCACAAUGGGCGCAAGCCUGAUGCAGCCAUGCCGCGUGUGUGAAGAAGGCCUUCGGGUUGUAAAGCACUUUCAGCGGGGAGGAAGGCGGUGAGGUUAAUAACCUCAUCGAUUGACGUUACCCGCAGAAGAAGCACCGGCUAACUGCCGUGCCAGCAGCCGCGGUAAUACGGAGGGUGCAAGCGUUAAUCGGAAUUACUGGGCGUAAAGCGCACGCAGGCGGUCUGUCAAGUCGGAUGUGAAAUCCCCGGGCUCAACCGGGGAACUGCAUUCGAAACUGGCAGGCUAGAGUCUUGUAGAGGGGGGUAGAAUUCCAGGUGUAGCGGUGAAAUGCGUAGAGAUCUGGAGGAAUACCGGUGGCGAAGGCGGCCCCCUGGACAAAGACUGACGCUCAGGUGCGAAAGCGUGGGGAGCAAACAGGAUUAGAUACCCCGGUAGUC
rnacentral:rRNA from 1 species